AUUGAACGCUGGCGGCAGGCCUAACACAUGCAAGUCGAGCGAGCGGCGAACGGGUGAGUAACGUCUGGGAAACUGCCUGAUGGAGGGGGAUAACUACUGGAAAAGGUAGCUAAUACCGCGUACCAUCAGAUGUGCACAGGUGGGAUUAGCUAGUAGGUGGGGUAACGGCCGACCUAGGCGACGAUCCCUAGCUGGUCUGAGAGGAUGACCAGCCACCUUGGAACUGAUACACGGUCCAGACUCCUACGCGAGGCAGCAGUGGGGAAGAUUGGACAAUGGGCGCAAGCCUGAUGCAGCCAUGCCGGGUCUGUGAAGAAGGCCUGCGGGUUGUAAAGCACUUUCAGCGGGUAGGCGUUACCCGCAGAAGAAGCACCUGCUAACUCCGUGCCAGCAGCCGCGGUAAUAC
rnacentral:rRNA from 1 species